UACGUAGGGGGCAAGCGUUGUUCGGAAUUACUGGGCGUAAAGGGCGCGUAGGCGGCCUUCUAAGUCGGACGUGAAAUCCCUCGGCUUAACCGAGGAACUGCGUCCGAUACUGAAAGGCUUGAAUCCGGGAGAGGGAUGUGGAAUUCCAGGUGUAGCGGUGAAAUGCGUAGAUAUCAGGAGGAACACCGGUGGCGAAGGCGGGUCUCGUGGGCAGUAACUGACGCUGAGGAGCGAAAGCGUGGGGAGCGAACAGGAUU
rnacentral:rRNA from 1 species